UGAUGUGGCUUAGUGGUAAAGCACUUGCCUAGAAUGCAGGAGGUCUGGGUUCAAUUCCCAGCAUUGAAA